CACAUAUUGUGAGCUCGAUGAGUAGGGCGGGACACGUGGUAUCCUGUCUGAAUAUGGGGGGACCAUCCUCCAAGGCUAAAUACUCCUGACUGACCGAUAGUGAACCAGUACCGUGAGGGAAAGGCGAAAAGAACCCCGGCGAGGGGAGUGAAAAAGAACCUGAAACCGUGUACGUACAAGCAGUGGGAGCCUCUUUAUGGGGUGACUGCGUACCUUUUGUAUAAUGGGUCAGCGACUUAUAUUCUGUAGCAAGGUUAACCGAAUAGGGGAGCCGAAGGGAAACCGAGUCUUAACUGGGCGUUAAGUUGCAGGGUAUAGACCCGAAACCCGGUGAUCUAGCCAUGGGCAGGUUGAAGGUUGGGUAACACUAACUGGAGGACCGAACCGACUAAUGUUGAAAAAUUAGCGGAUGACUUGUGGCUGGGGGUGAAAGGCCAAUCAAACCGGGAGAUAGCUGGUUCUCCCCGAAAGCUAUUUAGGUAGCGCCUCGUGAAUUCAUCUCCGGGGGUAGAGCACUGUUUCGGCAAGGGGGUCAUCCCGACUUACCAACCCGAUGCAAACUGCGAAUACCGGAGAAUGUUAUCACGGGAGACACACGGCGGGUGCUAACGUCCGUCGUGAAGAGGGAAACAACCCAGACCGCCAGCUAAGGUCCCAAAGUCAUGGUUAAGUGGGAAACGAUGUGGGAAGGCCCAGACAGCCAGGAUGUUGGCUUAGAAGCAGCCAUCAUUUAAAGAAAGCGUAAUAGCUCACUGGUCGAGUCGGCCUGCGCGGAAGAUGUAACGGGGCUAAACCAUGCACCGAAGCUGCGGCAGCGACACUAUGUGUUGUUGGGUAGGGGAGCGUUCUGUAAGCCUGUGAAGGUGGCCUGUGAGGGUUGCUGGAGGUAUCAGAAGUGCGAAUGCUGACAUAAGUAACGAUAAAGCGGGUGAAAAGCCCGCUCGCCGGAAGACCAAGGGUUCCUGUCCAACGUUAAUCGGGGCAGGGUGAGUCGACCCCUAAGGCGAGGCCGAAAGGCGUAGUCGAUGGGAAACAGGUUAAUAUUCCUGUACUUGGUGUUACUGCGAAGGGGGGACGGAGAAGGCUAUGUUGGCCGGGCGACGGUUGUCCCGGUUUAAGCGUGUAGGCUGGUUUUCCAGGCAAAUCCGGAAAACCAAGGCUGAGGCGUGAUGACGAGGCACUACGGUGCUGAAGCGACAAAUGCCCUGCUUCCAGGAAAAGCCUCUAAGCAUCAGGUAACAUCAAAUCGUACCCCAAACCGACACAGGUGGUCAGGUAGAGAAUACCAAGGCGCUUGAGAGAACUCGGGUGAAGGAACUAGGCAAAAUGGUGCCGUAACUUCGGGAGAAGGCACGCUGAUAUGUAGGUGAAGCGACUUGCUCGUGGAGCUGAAAUCAGUCGAAGAUACCAGCUGGCUGCAACUGUUUAUUAAAAACACAGCACUGUGCAAACACGAAAGUGGACGUAUACGGUGUGACGCCUGCCCGGUGCCGGAAGGUUAAUUGAUGGGGUUAGCGGUAACGCGAAGCUCUUGAUCGAAGCCCCGGUAAACGGCGGCCGUAACUAUAACGGUCCUAAGGUAGCGAAAUUCCUUGUCGGGUAAGUUCCGACCUGCACGAAUGGCGUAAUGAUGGCCAGGCUGUCUCCACCCGAGACUCAGUGAAAUUGAACUCGCUGUGAAGAUGCAGUGUACCCGCGGCAAGACGGAAAGACCCCGUGAACCUUUACUAUAGCUUGACACUGAACAUUGAGCCUUGAUGUGUAGGAUAGGUGGGAGGCUUUGAAGUGUGGACGCCAGUCUGCAUGGAGCCGACCUUGAAAUACCACCCUUUAAUGUUUGAUGUUCUAACGUUGGCCCGUAAUCCGGGUUGCGGACAGUGUCUGGUGGGUAGUUUGACUGGGGCGGUCUCCUCCUAAAGAGUAACGGAGGAGCACGAAGGUUGGCUAAUCCUGGUCGGACAUCAGGAGGUUAGUGCAAUGGCAUAAGCCAGCUUGACUGCGAGCGUGACGGCGCGAGCAGGUGCGAAAGCAGGUCAUAGUGAUCCGGUGGUUCUGAAUGGAAGGGCCAUCGCUCAACGGAUAAAAGGUACUCCGGGGAUAACAGGCUGAUACCGCCCAAGAGUUCAUAUCGACGGCGGUGUUUGGCACCUCGAUGUCGGCUCAUCACAUCCUGGGGCUGAAGUAGGUCCCAAGGGUAUGGCUGUUCGCCAUUUAAAGUGGUACGCGAGCUGGGUUUAGAACGUCGUGAGACAGUUCGGUCCCUAUCUGCCGUGGGCGCUGGAGAACUGAGGGGGGCUGCUCCUAGUACGAGAGGACCGGAGUGGACGCAUCACUGGUGUUCGGGUUGUCAUGCCAAUGGCACUGCCCGGUAGCUAAAUGCGGAAGAGAUAAGUGCUGAAAGCAUCUAAGCACGAAACUUGCCCCGAGAUGAGUUCUCCCUGAGUCCUUGAGACUCCUGAAGGAACGUUGAAGACGACGACGUUGAUAGGCCGGGUGUGUAAGCGCAGCGAUGCGUUGAGCUAACCGGUACUAAUGAACCGUGAGGCUUAACCUU
rnacentral:rRNA from 1 species